rnacentral:tRNA from 1 species
GGGGAUGUAGCUCAGGGGGAGAGCACCUGCUUCGCAAGCAGGGGGUCGGCGGUUCGAAUCCGCUCAUCUCCACCA